UGACGUCAAGCGGGAGAGGCCGGAUGAAAAGAUACCGGCGCCGAAGGAGCAACCGCCCCGGAAACUCUCAGGCAAAUGGACCGCUUGCCGAUA
rnacentral:ncRNA from 2 species